GUGAGUUCUAUCAUUAAGGGUUUGAGAUUGUACCUUAAUACUUGAUAGCUAAGAGGGAACUCGGUGUAAAUCCGAGACGGAUUCCGCCACUGUAAAUGAAGAGCAGCAUUGGGCAAGCGCAACCAUUGGUUUUAUCCGAGAAGGUUAAUGCUGUAUUGAGGCAUAAGUCAGGAGACCUGCUCAUAAUACGGACGAAAG
rfam:Eubacterium infirmum F0142 genomic scaffold supercont1.2, whole genome shotgun sequence.